UCGAGCGGAAACGAGUUAUCUGAACCUUCGGGGAACGAUAACGGCGUCGAGCGGCGGACGGGUGAGUAAUGCCUAGGAAAUUGCCUUGAUGUGGGGGAUAACCAUUGGAAACGAUGGCUAAUACCGCAUAAUGCCUUCGGGCCAAAGAGGGGGACCUUCGGGCCUCUCGCGUCAAGAUAUGCCUAGGUGGGAUUAGCUAGUUGGUGAGGUAAUGGCUCACCAAGGCGACGAUCCCUAGCUGGUCUGAGAGGAUGAUCAGCCACACUGGAACUGAGACACGGUCCAGACUCCUACGGGAGGCAGCAGUGGGGAAUAUUGCACAAUGGGCGCAAGCCUGAUGCAGCCAUGCCGCGUGUAUGAAGAAGGCCUUCGGGUUGUAAAGUACUUUCAGUCGUGAGGAAGGUUCAUGCGUUAAUAGCGUAUGGAUUUGACGUUAGCGACAGAAGAAGCACCGGCUAACUCCGUGCCAGCAGCCGCGGUAAUACGGAGGGUGCGAGCGUUAAUCGGAAUUACUGGGCGUAAAGCGCAUGCAGGUGGUUUGUUAAGUCAGAUGUGAAAGCCCGGGGCUCAACCUCGGAACUGCAUUUGAAACUGGCAAACUAGAGUACUGUAGAGGGGGGUAGAAUUUCAGGUGUAGCGGUGAAAUGCGUAGAGAUCUGAAGGAAUACCAGUGGCGAAGGCGGCCCCCUGGACAGAUACUGACACUCAGAUGCGAAAGCGUGGGGAGCAAACAGGAUUAGAUACCCUGGUAGUCCACGCCGUAAACGAUGUCUACUUGGAGGUUGUGGCCUUGAGCCGUGGCUUUCGGAGCUAACGCGUUAAGUAGACCGCCUGGGGAGUACGGUCGCAAGAUUAAAACUCAAAUGAAUUGACGGGGGCCCGCACAAGCGGUGGAGCAUGUGGUUUAAUUCGAUGCAACGCGAAGAACCUUACCUACU
rnacentral:rRNA from 1 species